GACGAACGCUGGCGGCGUGCUUAACACAUGCAAGUCGAACGGAAAGGCCCUGCUUUUGUGGGGUGCUCGAGUGGCGAACGGGUGAGUAACACGUGAGUAACCUGCCCUUGACUUUGGGAUAACUUCAGGAAACUGGGGCUAAUACCGGAUAGGAGCUCCUGCUGCAUGGUGGGGGUUGGAAAGUUUCGGCGGCUGGGGAUGGACUCGCGGCUUAUCAGCUUGUUGGUGGGGUAGUGGCUUACCAAGGCUUUGACGGGUAGCCGGCCUGAGAGGGUGACCGGCCACAUUGGGACUGAGAUACGGCCCAGACUCCUACGGGAGGCAGCAGUGGGGAAUAUUGCACAAUGGGUGGAAGCCUGAUGCAGCAACGCCGCGUGCGGGAUGACGGCCUUCGGGUUGUAAACCGCUUUCGCCUGUGACGAAGCGUGAGUGACGGUAAUGGGUAAAGAAGCACCGGCUAACUACGUG
rnacentral:rRNA from 1 species